rnacentral:rRNA from 1 species
GAUGAACGCUAGCGGCAGGCUUAAUACAUGCAAGUCGAGGGGCAACAGGGGGUAGCAAUACCUGCUGGCGACCGGCAAACGGGUGCGGAACACGUACAGAACCUUCCUUUAAGCGGGGAUAGCCCGGAGAAAUCCGGAUUAAUACCCCAUAGUAAUAUUGACUGGCAUCAGUUGGUAUUUAAAGAUUUAUCACUUAAAGAUGGCUGUGCGGCUGAUUAGGUAGUUGGUUGGGGUAACG